CCCCUCUGCGCAGGGCCGGGGGCUUUGUGGGCCGGCGCGGGAGACGCGCGCCCAGGGGGCUCCCGGCCGGGGCGUGGGAGGCGCGGCGGGCAGCUCAGUGGGGAGCUUCUCUCUCGGCUGUCCUCCCCUCCGCCCUCCGGGAGCCUGGGGACGUCCGGAAGGCCGAUCCGGGACGGCGGCUGGACGCUGGAAUUGGGAGGGGGCGGAGAGGAGGCUCCCGCGCGCCCUGGGCUGCCGCCCUCGGAAUCCGCCCGUGACCACCGGCCCGCGCCCGGGCAGGCCCAGCCCUCCUGCAGCCCAGCCCGCUCCUCUACGCCCGGCCCGCGGCCGCUGAGCAGGCCCGGAGGAGCGCAGACCCCUCCCCGCCUCGUCCUCCGUGAGAUGCCCAUGGUGGCAGCCUGCGCUUUCCUCGGGGGCGGGGGGGGAGCCACUUUGCGCAGGUUGGGUUAAGAAAGGCCGCCCCCCGCGUGGCCCUCCGGAGCGCACUAAGAGGCUGCGGUGAUCGGGCCCCGAGUCGGGUCAGGAGCUCGUCGCUCGCUGAAGCGAAGGAUGUGGCUGUUCGCGCUGAGGCGGAGAGAGGUGGUCAAGUGGCAGCGAGGGGCAAGCAGGAAUUAGGGCCUCCAGACCUUCAGACAAGGCUACUUGCCGCUACCCUAAGCUGAACGCAGCCCAAAGGCUCAGAGGGGUCCUCGGGGCCUUCCUGCAUCCUCCAUCCAGGUUCCGGAGCUGGGGAGAAAGCGCCGCGCCUGAGCGGGUCUGAGUCCCACCAGCCCUCCCCGUCCAUCUGCCGCGCCCUGAGGUCGGACCCUCCCACGGAAGAGGCGGCAGAGAGCGACAGCCGACUGCAGAUACCUCUUGUUUCCUUCAGACCCUUCAAGGGGGAGCGGAACAAAACCAGGUCCCCCAAAGAAAGUGGCCUGGGGGAGAAGGUGGGUGACUGAGGAACAGGAUCCCUCAGCUGUGCUGCUCUCCUCAUUCCCGGGGCGCGGGGGCCUCCUGCUCCCUCCUCUAGAUUUCGGACAAUCACUCCUGACUAGGCGAGUCACUGGGAGCCACGGUUUGCCAGAGACCUGGACUCUGUGACCUUAGCAGCAGACAGACCAAAGCAAGGCGGGAACUCUGUGAACAGUGUUGUUCGCUCAAAGGAGAGUCCGACAGAAGCAGGAGAUCUUCCCUGGAGCCCGUGGAGCCAGUGGGAGCUGCCGCCUUGGACUUCACUGGGCUCUGUGCUCCCUGGCUUCGUGCAGGUCCCUCCCAGCACCAGCCAGGCACCCCGGCCUCCAGGAUCAGCCAUGGCAGGUCUGGCUUAGGUGCUUUAGUAAACACCCGGCCUGUGGACUGCUCUGGGGUCCAGACUGCGGAGCGCCCAGUCCGCGACAGGCUGGUUCACCUCCUGCUCACUGUUGGGAAUCAGGGCUCAUGGCUCCGCCCAGUGCAACCCUAAAGCAGGCCUUCCACGGCACAAGAGGGCUGCUCGACACUCGUCUAUUUUCUUUUCUUUCGCUGAAGACUAAAAGACUUGAAGAACUGUACACAGGCCUACUGCUUCAAUGAAAGUCCCUCCAAAACGGCCCAGUUGUCACUAGAGACAGGUGCCAUUCCUUGAAGUCACGUGUUGGGCGCUGUGGUCAAGGAAACAAAACCAAGACCCCAAACAUCAGUUUUGGGGAGCUGUCCAUGAGCAUCAGAGUCUUAACGCCAACCCAGCCAGACCACCAGGGAGCAGCCUGUGGUUUGAAAAAUCCAGACGAACUGAAACAGUCGGAUUAAUUGUGCUGAUGCCAUGGGGAGGGCCCCCAAGGAGGCUGCGCGAGGCUGGAUACAGGCAGGAGGGAGGCGUCUUUUGAAAGGUGAGGUGAAUCCUAGGAUCCUGGAAUUUCAGGAUGGGAACUGAGGCUCAGGGAGAGCACGCUGGCCAAGGACGCAGUGCUGCAGGCGUGAGGGCAGGGGAGGGAGACAUCACACACAACAUGUUCAGCAUGUGCAGACUUACCACCUGCACUUAUUGCUUCAUUCUCACCAGAAUCCCCAGAAGCUGGAGCCCCAAGAACCACUGAAGAGUUUGGAAUCUGUCCAGCAGGAAAGAGGGGCUCGCUGCAUGCUGGAUCCCACAGCCUGAUCUGUGUCCUGAUCCCAUCUCAGAGCACAGAUCCCUUCCUGGAUCCCCUAGUCUGUUCUGUGUCCUGAUCCUCUUCUCAGAGUACCGAUCCUGUCUGGAUCCCACACCUGGAUCUGUGUCCUGAUCUCAUCUCAGAGCACAGACUCUGUCCUGGAUCCCACACUCUGAUCUGUGUCCUGAUCCCAUCUCAGAGCACAGACCCUGUCCUGGAUCCCCUACUCUGAUCUGUGUCCUGAUCCUCUUCUCAGAGUAUAGAUCCCCUCCUGGAUCCCACACCCUGAUCUGUCUCCUGAUCCCGCCUCAGAGCACAGAUCCCUUCCGGGGUCCCACACCCUGAUCUGUGUCCUGAAACUCCCCUCAGAGAGCAGCCCUGUCCUGGCCCCUCCACCUCCAUCCAGCCUGCCCACUCUAGUGCAGUCUGUCUUACAACCAUGGAGUCCCUACCGGGGGUGCUCCCUUUGGUCGGUCCCAAGAGCAAGGAAGUCUCAUUUCUGCCCCUUGCUGUGUAAGUUACCCAGGUGCUGGAGGCAGUGCAUAAGGUUCUCUGUGCAUGAUACAGUGACACACGCCUGGCUCACAUGGAUCAGACACAACUCACCUGAGGGUCCCAGCACAGCACCAGAGAUGCUCAACAGGCACGAUUCUGCAGUCCCUUUCCUCCUCAAUUAGCUGCAGUUGUGGCAUGUGGGACGCUGCCUCAGCGUGGUCUGAUGAGCAGCGCCAUGUCCGCGCCCAGGAUUCGAACUAACGAAACACUGGGCCGCCUGCAGCGGAGCGCGCGAACUUAACCACUCGGCCACGGGGCCAGGCCCGCCACCACAUAUUUUUGCUCUAAACAUGAAGACUUCUCAAUUACUCCUUAUUCCUCGAACACUCCAGGUACUUUCAGUAAAUCUUUUAAACAUCACAUGACCUAUUCCAGGAAUUUCCCGACACUCUCCAACUACUGGUCCUUCCGAUUUUUCCAAUUUCCCUUCACCCCCAUUCCCUCAGCUCAGUUUACUUCAUGUGCAAAUCGGGGGGGCAGUGAGGGUGCUGAAUGGGUAGAAAUGUGCCCCCCAAAAGAUAUAUCUAAGUCCUCAUCUCUAAUUCCUGGGAAUGUGACCUUAUUUGAAAAUAGGGUCUUUGCAGACAUAAACAAGUUAAGACCAGGUCAUACUGAAUUAGUGUGAGCCUGAAAUCCAGUGAUGGGUGUCUUUGUAAGCAGGCCAUGUGAAGAUGGACAUGCAGGAUGAAGGCCAUGUGGCUGCAGAGACAGAGAUUGGAAUGAUGUGUUUGCGAGGCCAGGACCACUGUAAUUGCUGGCCAUCAGCGGAAGCCAAGAGAAGGCAGGAAUGAUUUUCCCCAGGAGUCUUCAGAGAGCCUGGUCCUGCUGAUGCCUUGAUUUCAGACUCUGGCUCCCAGAACUGUGAGAGAAUAAACUCCUGUUGUUUCA